UGGCUCAGUGGUAGAGUGCUUGCCUUGUAUGCAUGAGGCCCUGGGUUCGAUUCCUUA
rnacentral:tRNA from 1 species